AAAUGCUUCAGACACUCGUUGAAAGUGUUUCAGUUCAAAUAAAUUUCAUCAUGUCACUAGUUUAUGGAUCUUCUGACAAAGAAAAUGGUGCACUGGAUCAAAUACUGAAUAGAGACGAAUUAGAAACAUUUGUAAAUAAUAAAAAACGACUGAAGAAACUUUACCAAACAGAAUACAGUUAUAUGAGGUCUUUCUUAUGGGAGAAUAAGAGUAGAGAUUUUCCUCUUAAGGAUUAUUACGUUAAUUUAAAACUGCAGGAAACACAUAAUUUUAGUGUUAGUCCAAUUGGUGACAUUCUUGAUAUCAAGGAUAUA